AUGAACGCUAGCUACAGGCUUAACACAUGCAAGUCGCGGGGCAGCAUGGGGGUUGCUUGCAAUCCCCGAUGGCGACCGGCGCACGGGUGAGUAACGCGUAUCCAACCUGCCCUUCACCACGGGAUAACCCGGCGAAAGUCGGACUAAUACCGUAUGUUGUCCAUUGACGGCAUCCGAUUUGGACGAAAGGCUUGGCGGUGAGGGAUGGGGAUGCGUCCGAUUAGCCAGACGGCGGGGUAACGGCCCACCGUGGCUACGAUCGGUAGGGGUUCUGAGAGGAAGGUCCCCCACACUGGAACUGAGACACGGUCCAGACUCCUACGGGAGGCAGCAGUGAGGAAUAUUGGUCAAUGGGCGUAAGCCUGAACCAGCCAAGUAGCGUGCAGGAUGACGGCCCUAUGGGUUGUAAACUGCUUCUAUGCGGGGAUAAAGUGGCCCACGUGUGGGCUUUUGCAGGUACCGCAUGAAUAAGGACCGGCUAAUUCCGUG
rnacentral:rRNA from 1 species